CCUACGGGAGGCUGCAGUGAGGAAUAUUGGUCAAUGGGCGCGAGCCUGAACCAGCCAAGUCGCGUGAGGGAUGAAGGUUCUAUGGAUCGUAAACCUCUUUUAUAAGGGAAUAAAGUGUGGGACGUGUCCUAUUUUGUAUGUACCUUAUGAAUAAGGAUCGGCUAACUCCGUGCCAGCAGCCGCGGUAAUACGGAGGAUCCGAGCGUUAUCCGGAUUUAUUGGGUUUAAAGGGUGCGGAGGCGGGCUUUUAAGUCAGCGGUUAAAGUCGGUGGCUCAACCAUAUAAGUGCCGUUGAAACUGGGGGGCUUGAGUAUGUUUGAGGUAGGCGGAAUGCGUGGUGUAGCGGUGAAAUGCUUAGAUAUCACGCAGAACUCCGAUUGCGAAGGCAGCAUGCCAAGCCAUGACUGACGCUGAUGCACGAAAGCGUGGGGAUCAAACAGGAUUAGAUACCCUUGUAGUC
rnacentral:rRNA from 1 species